rnacentral:rRNA from 1 species
ACUCAAAGGAAUAGACGGGGGCCCGCACAAGCAGUGGAGUAUGUGGUUUAAUUCGACGCUACGCGAAGAACCUUACCAGGUCUUGACAUCCGACUAACGAAGCAGAGAUGCAUUAGGUGCCCUUCGGGGAAAGUCGAGACAGGUGGUGCAUGGUUGUCGUCAGCUCGUGUCGUGAGAUGUUGGGUUAAGUCCCGCAACGAGCGCAACCCUUGCCGAUAGUUACUACGAAAGAGGACUCUAUCGGGACUGCCGUUGACAAAACGGAGGAAGGUGGGGAUGACGUCAAAUCAUCAUGCCCCUUAUGACCUGGGCUACACACGUACUACAAUGGCUGUUCACAGAGGGAUGCAAAGCCGCGAGGCAGAGCGAAACCCUAAAAACAGUCUCAGUUCAGAUUGCAGGCUGCAACCCGCCUGCAUGAAGUCGGAAUUGCUAGUAAUCGCGGAUCAGCAUGCCGCGGUGAAUACGUUCCCGGGCCUUGUACACACCGCCCGU